CCUCAGAUGUCAUUGGAAUGGAAGUAAUACACAUGAUAUGUUUCAAUGAAAUUAAUAUGAUUAAUGAUGGGAUAAGACGUAGAGGAGAUCCUAUAUCUACAGUACAUGUAUAUGUAACUGCAAAUGUAUUCCAAGAGUUUAUGGCUGAUUAUGCAACUACAGGAUUUUAUCAUGGAAGCAACAUCUUAGAAGGAUAAAUGCAAAUGUAUGAAGGAAGCCUUGUGUAUAAAUACAUGUAGCAAUUACACGCAGGAGAGAACACUUAAACAUUACUAACAUGUAGUCAUGAUAUGGGAGUGGUGCAUUCUAGAAAUCUAAACACCUGGAAUUAAAUAUUGUGUAUAUUUUUUUUACUGUCUAAAAAUGGAAAAUGCUUGUUUUAAAAUGAAUUUUUUAUAAA